AUUGAACGCUGGCGGCAGGCCUAACACAUGCAAGUAGAACGAGUGGCGGACGGGUGAGUAAUGUAUGGGAAACUGACAGAUGGAGGGGGAUAACUACUGGAAACGGUGGCUAAUACCGCAUACCAUCGGAUGUGCCCAGCUGGUCUUAGCUAGUAGGUGGGGUAAAGGCUCACCUAGGCGACGAUCUCUAGCUGGUCUGAGAGGAUGACCAUGCACACUGUAGCUGAGACACGCUCCAGCCUCCUACGGUAGGCAUCAGUGGGGAAUAGUCAACAAUGGGCGAAAGCCAGAUGCAGCCAUGCCGCUUGAUUGAAGAAGACCUUAGGGUUGGAAAGCACUUUCAUCGGUGAGGCGUUACCCGCAGAAGAAGCACCGGCUAACUCCGUGCCAGCCGCCGCGGUAAAAC
rnacentral:rRNA from 1 species